AGUGAACGCUGGCGGUAGGCCUAACACAUGCAAGUCGAACGGCAGCACAGUAAGAGCUUGCUCUUACGGGUGGCGAGUGGCGGACGGGUGAGGAAUACAUCGGAAUCUACUUUUUCGUGGGGGAUAACGUAGGGAAACUUACGCUAAUACCGCAUACGACCUACGGGUGAAAGCAGGGGAUCUUCGGACCUUGCGCGAUUGAAUGAGCCGGUGUCGGAUUAGCUAGUUGGCGGGGUAAAGGCCCACCAAGGCGACGAUCCGUAGCUGGUCUGAGAGGAUGAUCAGCCACACUGGAACUGAGACACGGUCCAGACUCCUACGGGAGGCAGCAGUGGGGAAUAUUGGACAAUGGGCGCAAGCCUGAUCCAGCCAUACCGCGUGGGUGAAGAAGGCCUUCGGGUUGUAAAGCCCUUUUGUUGGGAAAGAAAAGCAGCAGGUUAAUACCCCGCUGUUCUGACGGUACCCAAAGAUUAAGCACCGGCUAACUUCGUG
rnacentral:rRNA from 1 species